CCUACGGGGGGCAGCAGUGGGGAAUAUUGGACAAUGGGGGGAACCCUGAUCCAGCCAUGCCGCGUGUGUGAAGAAGGCCCUCGGGUUGUAAAGAACUUUCAGUGAGGAAGAACGCCUGGUGGUUAAUACCCAUCAGGAAAGACAUCACUCACAGAAGAAGCACCGGCUAACUCCGUGCCAGCAGCCGCGGUAAUACGGAGGGUGCGAGCGUUAAUCGGAAUUACUGGGCGUAAAGCGCGCGUAGGUGGCUUGAUAAGCCGGUUGUGAAAGCCCCGGGCUCAACCUGGGAACGGCAUCCGGAACUGUCAAGCUAGAGUGCAGGAGAGGAAGGUAGAAUUCCCGGUGUAGCGGUGAAAUGCGUAGAGAUCGGGAGGAAUACCAGUGGCGAAGGCGGCCUUCUGGACUGACACUGACACUGAGGUGCGAAAGCGUGGGUAGCAAACAGGAUUAGAUACCCUAGUAGUC
rnacentral:rRNA from 1 species